rnacentral:rRNA from 1 species
AUCUAAGUACCCCGAGGAAAAGAAAUCAACCGAGAUUCCGAAAGUAGCGGCGAGCGAAAUUGGACUAGCCCUUAAGCUUUACACGCGUUAGACGAACGGUCUGGAAAGUCCGACGAUACAGGGUGAUAGUCCCGUAGUUGACGACGUGUGUUCAGUGAAAUCGAGUAGGGCGGGACACGUGAUAUCCUGUCUGAAUAUGGGGGGACCAUCCUCCAAGGCUAAAUACUACUGACUGACCGAUAGUGAACCAGUACCGUGAGGGAAAGGCGAAAAGAACCCCUGUGAGGGGAGUGAAAUAGAACCUGAAACCGUGUACGUACAAGCAGUAGGAGCAGGCUUUGUCCUGUGACUGCGUACCUUUUGUAUAAUGGGUCAGCGACUUAUAUUCAGUGGCAAGGUUAACCAUCUAGGGGAGCCGUAGGGAAACCGAGUCUUAACUGGGCGUUCAGUCUCUGGAUAUAGACCCGAAACCAGGUGAUCUAGCCAUGGGCAGGUUGAAGGUUGAGUAACAUCAACUGGAGGACCGAACCGACUAAUGUUGAAAAAUUAGCGGAUGACUUGUGGCUAGGGGUGAAAGGCCAAUCAAACCUGGAGAUAGCUGGUUCUCCCCGAAAGCUAUUUAGGUAGCGCCUCGGACGAAUACUACUGGGGGUAGAGCACUGUUAAGGCUAGGGGGUCAUCCCGACUUACCAACCCUUUGCAAACUCCGAAUACCAGUAAGUACUAUCCGGGAGACACACGGCGGGUGCUAACGUCCGUCGUGGAGAGGGAAACAACCCAGACCGCCAGCUAAGGUCCCAAAUUACUACUAAGUGGGAAACGAUGUGGGAAGGCUCAGACAGCCAGGAUGUUGGCUUAGAAGCAGCCAUCAUUUAAAGAAAGCGUAAUAGCUCACUGGUCGAGUCGGCCUGCGCGGAAGAUGUAACGGGGCUAAGUAGUAAACCGAAGCUGCGGCAAUAUACUUUUGUAUAUUGGGUAGGGGAGCGUUCUGUAAGCGGUUGAAGGUGUGUGGUAACGCAUGCUGGACGUAUCAGAAGUGCGAAUGCUGACAUGAGUAACGAUAAAGGGGGUGAAAAACCUCCUCGCCGGAAGACCAAGGGUUCCUGUCCAACGUUAAUCGGGGCAGGGUAAGUCGACCCCUAAGGCGAGGCCGAAAGGCGUAGUCGAUGGGAAACGGGUUAAUAUUCCCGUACUUCUUACAAUUGCGAUGGGGGGACGGAGAAGGCUAGGUGGGCCUGGCGACGGUUGUCCAGGUUCAAGUGCGUAGGCUUAAGAGUUAGGUAAAUCCGGCUCUUUUUAAGGCUGAGACACGACGUCGAGCACCUACGGGUGUGAAGUCAUUGAUGCCAUGCUUCCAGGAAAAGCCUCUAAGCUUCAGAUUGUAAGGAAUCGUACCCCAAACCGACACAGGUGGUCGGGUAGAGAAUACCAAGGCGCUUGAGAGAACUCGGGUGAAGGAACUAGGCAAAAUGGUACCGUAA